rnacentral:misc_RNA from 1 species
AGUACGGUGGAGGGUCAGAAGAUCGUGAAAUUCGUGUGACGUAAACACACAGGGGGUGAUCUGUGGCCGUCAAUUAUGGAUGGCUCCCUAGUAGAAGAGUAGAUUCUUCGUCUCUACAGAAGAUGAUCUGUCGUGGAUGACACUGGCCGAAAAAAAAUUCCCUAUUGCAGUAAAAGGCAAUUUAAUAAUACUAACAAGGAUCAACGGUUUUACUUGCUUUAUGAGUGAAAUCAUAAGAGCAAAACUAGAAAAAGAUAUUUAUAGAAACAAAAAUGUGUAUCCUGGGAACUUGCAAUCAAGAAAAAUGAUGGAUAGAUAAGAAUAAUCGCUACCUUAAAAUUAACAAAAUUAAAACUAUUAACACGACAAAACAAAAACGAAAACCGUAAAACGAAACACGUCGUAGGCGUUAAUAUAAUUUACGACGACGAAAUUAAACACGAUUCUGUCAUAAAACAAGAAAAAUAAUACAUUAUUCUUAAUAAUAUUGCGUCUGUGGGCGGAAGGUGAACAAAUACCUCGCCACAUCCCGUCGUCACCUAACACUGCAUAUUUAUACAGACAGACGAUUUAUAAGCACUUUUAAUCAGAGAGUAAUGGGCAAUAAACGUUGAAAAACGGACGUGACGAAAUAUAGCCUAGAAUUACUUCUCGGACAUGUGUAGACAAAAGCUUAAAAAUAUAAAUACUUUAUUUUAUAAUCUCGUAAUAUCAUUCUUAUCCGACUGUCAUGCAAAGAAAGGGAAUAAUAGUUUCCUCCAAGUGUACAGCUUAACUU